GAAUCUACCUAGUAGUACGGAAUAAUUGUUGGAAACGGCAACUAAUACCGUAUACGCCCUACGGGGGAAAAAUUUAUUGCUAUUAGAUGAGCCUAUAUUAGAUUAGCUAGUUGGUGGAGUAAURGCUUACCAAGGCAAUGAUCUAUAGCUGAUCUGAGAGGAUGAUCAGCCACACUGGAACUGAGAUACGGUCCAGACUCCUACGGGAGGCAGCAGUGGGGAAUAUUGGACAAUGGGCGAAAGCCUGAUCCAGCYAUGYCGCAUGAGUGAAGAAGGCCUUUGGGUUGUAAAGCUCUUUYAGUGAGGAAGAUAAUGACGGUACUCACAGAAGAAGUCCUGGCUAACUCCGUGCCAGCAGCCGCGGUAAUACGGAGAGGGCUAGCGUUAUUCGGAAUUAUUGGGCGUAAAGRGCGCGUAGGCUGAUUAAUAAGUUAAAAGUGAAAUCCCGAGGCUYAACYUUGGAAUUGCUUUUAAAACURUUAAUCUAGAGAUUGAAAGAGGAUAGAGGAAUUCCUGAUGUAGAGGUAAAAUUCGUAAAUAUUAGGAGGAACACCAGUGGCGAAGGCGUCUAUCUGGUUCAAAUCUGACGCUGAGGCGCGAAGGCGUGGGGAGCAAACAGGAUUAGAUACCCUGGUAGUCCACGCUGUAAACGAUGAAUGUUAAAUAUGGGAAGUUUACUUUCUGUAUUACAGCUAACGSGUUAAGCAUUCCGCCUGGGGACUACGGUCGCAAGAUUAAAACUCAAAGGAAUUGACGGGGACCCGCACAAGCGGUGGAGCAUGUGGUUAAUC
rnacentral:rRNA from 1 species